rnacentral:rRNA from 1 species
AUUGAACGCUGGCGGCAUGCCUUACACAUGCAAGUCGAACGGCAGCACGGGAGCUUGCUCCUGGUGGCGAGUGGCGAACGGGUGAGUAAUACAUCGGAACGUACCCUGAAGUGGGGGAUAACGUAGCGAAAGUUACGCUAAUACCGCAUAUUCUGUGAGCAGGAAAGAGGGGGAUCGCAAGACCUCUUGCUUUAGGAGCGGCCGAUGUCGGAUUAGCUAGUUGGUGAGGUAAAGGCUCACCAAGGCGACGAUCCGUAGCGGGUCUGAGAGGAUGAUCCGCCACACUGGGACUGAGACACGGCCCAGACUCCUACGGGGGCAGCAGUGGGGAAUUUUGGACAAUGGGCGCAAGCCUGAUCCAGCCAUGCCGCGUGAGUGAAGAAGG